rnacentral:rRNA from 1 species
CUAGCCCCUGAAAAUGGAUGGCGCUAAAGCAUUCUCCCGAUACUCGACCGUCGGGGCAGUACUGGUCUCCAGAUGCCUCGAAGCCCCGACGAGUAGGAGGGUCGCUGAGGUGAGCGUUGAAGGGAUCCGGCGUGAGCCGGCCUGGAGCCGCCUCAGGUGCAGAUCUUGGUGGUAGUAGCAAAUACUCGAGCGAGAGCUCUUGAGGGCUGAUUGUGGAGAAGGGUUCCAUGAGAACAUUAGUUGCACAUGGUUCAGUCGGUCCUAACCCCCAGGAGAAAUCCGUCGCACUUUCGGUUGGCAGAGCCAAGUAAUACACUUGCGUCUCUCGUCAGUCGAGAGAGGCCUCCGUAUGUAGUCUAUGCUGGAAUGCUUAGAAGUCACGGUGGUAUCGCGGCAGUGGGGAAAGGGAAUGCAGUUCUUAUUCUGCAACCACGACCGGUACAGGUGAACUCACUCGAGUUUAUUUCCUGGUAACGGGAAGCAAUCCGUGUCUGCUGGCGGCUGGCCGUGGAAGAGUUUUCUUUUCUGUUUAAAAGCCCGUGUCCCUGGAAGCUAUUUGCUAUGCGAAAGGGACGUGGCGCUGUAGAACGUCUCGGUUCCUGAGACGUCGCGUGCCAGCUGUCGGCCCUUGAAAACACGGGGGAUGGGUGGUAGUAUACCUAAGUACCGGUCAGUCCGUACCCAUAUCCGCAUCAGGUCUCCAAGGUGAAGAGCCUCUUGUCGAUAGAUUAAUGUAGGUAAGGGAAGUCGGCAAAUUA